rnacentral:misc_RNA from 1 species
UUAAUAUUUGUAUGGGAUUCAGACACAAAACUAUUUUGCAUUAAUGUGGCGCCGGAGCGCCAAAGCACAUUUUGCUUCCACAGGUUGAAGGGUUGAAGGUCAUAAGACAGACCAUUCAAUAAUGAUCCCUCCGCAGGUUCACCUACGGAGA